CUCCCUUACACGGAGGGGUGGGCAGCUGUGUGCACCUCAGUGGAGAAGUUUAAAGGAGCCCCCACCUAGCCUCUGGCUUGCACAAGCUGGAGGUGGGGCGGGGGCUCCAUUAUACUUCUACAUUAAGGCGCACACAGCUGCCUUCCUCUCAGUGGAGAAGUGC